rnacentral:rRNA from 1 species
UACGUAGGGUGCAAGCGUUAAUCGGAAUUACUGGGCGUAAAGCGUGCGCAGGCGGCUUUGCAAGACAGAUGUGAAAUCCCCGGGCUCAACCUGGGAACUGCAUUUGUGACUGCAUGGCUGGAGUGCGGCAGAGGGGGAUGGAAUUCCGCGUGUAGCAGUGAAAUGCGUAGAUAUGCGGAGGAACACCGAUGGCGAAGGCAAUCCCCCUGGGCCUGCACUGACGCUCAUGCACGAAAGCGUGGGGAGCAAACAGG